AACUUAGCAUAAACAUCUUGCUUGUGGUAUAUGCAUAUGUUAUGGAUAUCCCUAGCCUGAUGUAUGUAGACAUCAAGAAUACCGAUGAAAUCCUCCAGGUUGUCAACCAUGGCUUCCUUCCUCUGGGCCUCAAUUCCCUUGGACAAGCUAUCAGAGGUCUGCACUGCAUAAUGAGAUUUCUGCUUCUCUGGCUCAGCAACAACAGAACUCUUGAAUGGUGAUACGACAGAUUGAGGGGAAUCCAUUAUCACGCC
rnacentral:misc_RNA from 1 species